CAACGCUGUAUCCAGUUCUCUCUUAUUACAUUAAUGACUCCCUUUGUAGACAUACACAGCGAACAGCUCAUUCUAAGUCUCAAGACUGCAAGAGUCUUUACGCAGAGUCGAUGCAGAGGGAGUCUACAUGAGACGUCUGAGGCUGCGUGUAUUAAGACGACGGUAGUAUUCUGUUCCUGGCCCAAACUCUUUGUGGCAUAUAGAUGGCAACCAUAAGCUCAUCAGAAUAAAGAGGAUGUGGAAAGAUGUUUAUGAACAUGCCCUGGACCUCUUCUAUCAGAUCUUCACUUCAUUGGAAGAUCAGGGAACACUGAAUCCAGACAAUGAAGUCCAUCGUUUCGCACUGCACCGGAUCUUCCUUCCACUAAUUCAGCAAAGCUUUGACUCUUUCCGAGAUGCUUGGGACUUUCAUGGUCUUAGAACUGAAAGAAAUCAGUCGCCACAGCAACUCUGGAGAAGAUACAGAGAGCAAGGCCCUAUGGAGGAUCCUAGUGAGGUUCCUGAAGAGUAUGGGAUCAACUGGAACGGACCUCACAGUCUUCAUGGAGGCGCAGUGUCAGUCUCCAAGGUUCAGCUGGCCCGUGAACUCUCAGAUGAAGAGGUUGCCAUUUUGCCAGCUCCAGGAGUUUCUGUAACUGAUGCACUUAGAUUAUAUGGAGAGAUUUUGCAAAUUUGAUCAAGAAUCAUAGGAGACUGUUGUCCAACCCUGGCUUUUAUUUAGCGUGUUAGAACAAGCAAGGAUAAUCUGAAAAAGUUAGCUUUUUCCUUCAAAAAAAAUAAAAUUAAAAAAAGCUGUUUUAUCCAAACUGGAGUUUGGAUAUCAUUGUUGUCAUAAAGGACCGCAUCACUCCCUCUCCGACAGCAACAUCACCUGAAAUAAAAUACUGAUAAUAACACAGUGGAAAUACAAUGGCUGACUAAUACAGGUAACUGGAUUAUGUAACAUUU